ACAGAUCUGGGAUGUACGAGCGGAUUUCAGGAGCGUGGCCAACACCGUUAAGAGAUCAAACCUCUUGUCACUGUGUGGUGAGCAAGCCCACCCCUGAGUGGGACGCCUGAAACACAUUGCGGGGUCGAGCAAAACAGUUCUUGGCUUCGUCCGUUGAAACCGUUCGGCAUCCCGGAUGUGCA
rnacentral:other from 1 species